AUACGUAGGUGACAAGCGUUAUCCGGAUUUACUGGGCGUAAAGGGCGUGUAGGCGGUCUUGCAAGUCAGAAGUGAAAUUCCUGAGCUCAACUCGGGCGCUGCUUCUGAAACUGCAGGACUUGAGUGCUGGAGGGGAUAGCGGAAUUCCUAGUGGAGCGGUAAAAUGCGCAGAUAUUAGGAAGAACACCGGUGGCGAAGGCGGCUAUUUGGGAAGUAACUGACGCGUAGGCGCGAAAGUGUGGGGGGCAAACAGGAUUAGAUACCCUGGUAGUCCACGCCGUAAACGACGAAUACUAGGUGUAGGGGGUAUCGACUCCCUCUGUGCCGCAGUUAACACAAUAAGUAUUCCGCCUGGGGAGUACGGCCGCAAGGUUGAAACUCAAAUGAAUUGGCGGGG
rnacentral:rRNA from 1 species